rnacentral:lncRNA from 1 species
UGCAUUUUCAAAUAAUCACAUCUCCGGCCAUUACAUUUCUUCACACGUUUAAAUUAGUCUUUCUGAAGUAAAGAUGACGAGCCAAACUGGUGCGCAGCUACCCUCAAUACACGAGGACCAACUCUUAAGCCAACAGCAACAGACACAGCAGCAAAUCAAUAUUCAGGGUGCUUCACAUGCUAACUCAGGGCCACCACCAAGACAACUUAAACUAGCUCAUUCAGAUCUGAUUACCGGGGCGGACCUGUGUGGUAGUGAGGAGUAGCCCGGGAUACCCCUCAACUUUUUUGGCGAAGUGUAAUUUUUUUUCUCAAUCUCCAUUUUAUUUAUCAGGGAUACCCCUAAGCAUAUGUUAGGAUACCCCUGAGUGUAGGUGAAUAUUAGAUAAAAUGAAAUUUUAUCCGGAAAACAAAAUUUCCGGAUACAUGAAACUUGCAGCGGGACACCAUAGAACAAUACCUCAAAAUUGGUGUCCCUUUAUAUGAAGCAUCAAUAAAAUGUGACUGGAAGGCUGCCAAAGACAUUUUUGAUAAGUACUCAGAGAUGGGAUUGGAAAAGUAUAGCAUUACUGAAAACGGUGAAACACCGCUUCACGUUGCUGCAUCAGCAAAAGGACCAAAAGAUGUUGAAAAGUUUGUGAAAAAUCUAGUGGGUAAGAUGCAAAAUGAAGACUUGGAACU